rnacentral:rRNA from 1 species
CCUACGGGAGGCUGCAGUGGGGGAUAUUGCACAAUGGGGGAAACCCUGAUGCAGCGACGCCGCGUGUGGGAAGACGGCCUUCUGGAUUGUAAACCACUGUCCCCAGGGACGAAAAUGACGGUACCUGGGGAGGAAGCUCCGGCUAACUACGUGCCAGCAGCCGCGGUAAUACGUAGGGAGCAAGCGUUGUCCGGAAUUACGGGGUGAAAAGGGAGCGUAGGCGGGGAUGCAAGUUGGGUGUCAAAACUACCGGCUCAACCGAUAGUCGCACUCAAAACUGCAGCUCUUGAGUGAAGUAGAGGCAGGCGGAAUUCGUAGUGUAGCGGUGAAAUGCGUAGAUAUUAGGAGGAACACCAGUGGCGAAGGCGGCCUGCUGGGCUUUUACUGACGCUGAGGCUCGAAAGUGUGGGGAGCAAACAGGAUUAGAUACCCGUGUAGUC